UUAACUUGUCUAAACUUAUCUAAACAAUAUGUGAGAAACGCAACUAUGGCUGGAUAAGAUGAGAGUAAAUAUCCCCCCUCCCUUCCCUCAUAUUAUUUAUCAAACUGUUUACCAAAGACAACCACCAUCAUCUCUCAUUCUCUUUGUUUAUGACAAAUUGUAUGAUAUGGUGGGUCUCUCUCUAAUGACUAAUGUAGGUGUAAUUUGUGAUUAACCGUUGAUGUCAAGUGUUAGAGGUUGUAUGGUUGUGCUCCCAGUGGCUCUCAUGGUGGGCUCGUGGAGUUCUGGUGGUAGAUUGACUAAUUUGGAUAGUACACAACUCAAUAUCAUAACACUUCCAUUGUAAACUCUAUCAUUGAGAGCAAACCACAGGCUUGGCUUGUCAGAAAGGCAGGGGUAGGGUUUGUUGUGCUUGCAGUGACUGGAGGAUUGUAGAUUUAUGUUGGGUGGGAGACUGGGAGUUAGUGGUGAUCAACUCUCUGGGGUUUCGUAGAGAUAGGAUGGCUGAUUUGCUGGUGCUGAGUAGGCAAAUCCAGUCCUGGGGGUGGAUAGCUGGUGGCAUACGUGGUGGAGGUCAAUUGGCAUGGCUUGGGGGGGGAUCAAGAUGAUGACCCAGGGUUGGACAACUUGGUUUAGCAAAUAAGGCUAUGGAAAGGAAAACCAAACACUGAAGCUCAAAGAUGGUUUUGUUGAGUUAUUCUUGCCAUCGUCAGCCAUUAUGCUCUAUAUUAUUAUUAUUAUGAUUAUUAUUACUCCAUAUUAUUAAUAUUAUUAUUACUAUUUGAUUUACUUUUUGGUUUACAUCUUAACACUUACUGGUGUUGGAUUGCUUAUCCAUGAGCACAGUGCCAGCAGAUCGCGAAAGAAGCAUAAGCUCAUAAAUGGAGCCGAAGGUGAAAAUAAAGCUAAAGGUGAUAAGAAAGGGUUAUCUAACUCAUCAGGCAUGGACUCAAAGGACUUGACAGCACUGAAGCAGCAUGUGGCUCGUAAAUGUUUGUUUGCAAAUCUAGCCUUGAAGUUCUAUAAGAAAAAGACGGGGCAAAACCUUGAGCUUGUCGACCCUGGUUACAAGGGACAAGGUUUUCUGAAAGAAGGGCUUGUCUGCCAUAUAAACUUUGAGGCUAAGAAUAAAGAUGAUCCCAAUGCUUCAGAGUUCAGAGCUCCAAUUUUUCGCUGAACUCACCACCACACGCAUUUCAAAUCACCGUGUUGACCUCUGCAUCUCUUUGGGGCCAACUGUUAAACUUCCAGAAUAUGCUGAUACUCGUGGUUGCUGUAUAUGCUACCCUGGCGUUAUUUAUCAUCCUCCAACAGCAAGGUUCAAAGGCAGAGAUUAGCAUGGAAUGCAUAUGCUCAAGUCUCAUGUCCCGUUCAUACCAGUUUACUCAGUCAAUUGUUGUUAUUAUAAUUUUUAUCUUCUUAGUUUCUUACUCUAUCUGUUGCUUUGGUGCAACCACAGUUUGACCGUAAUCAUACAUAUUAGUAAAAACAUAAAAUUUUGAUUAUUGAAAGAUGCAUAUACUUCGUCCCAAAUCAUUUUGGGACUAAGGCUUUGUUGUUGUUGUAGUAUAUACUCCGUAUACAUUAACACUAAUAUUUGAUUAAAGUUAAUGAAUGAAUAGUAUAAAGUUAAACUGAUGCAAAUGUUCAGGAACACAAGGAGUAAUUUUUAUUUUCUUUUGGUGAAAUUGAUGGGCAAACCCCCAUGGAGGGAGUAAGUUUUCUAGUGAAUGUAUCAUCUCUCAUGUAUGCGUAUGAUACUUGUUAAUAGCAUAUCAUAAAAGCUUUCUCAAUCUUAUGAUUCUUAGGUGGGUAUGGCCGUAUGGGUGUAGAGAUAGUCCAUAUCACAUACACUCGGGUGUACGGUGUUUCCAAGGUCAUUUACAUAAUUAGUUAGAUAAGC